rnacentral:ribozyme from 2 species
GUAUUAAAGCUACCAUUGACGGUCACAAGUCCGUAUUAAAAAAGCUGAGUGAUAC